AUACGGAGGGUGCAAGCGUUAAUCGGAAUUACUGGGCGUAAAGCGUACGUAGGCGGUCCGUUAAGUUAGAUGUGAAAGCCCCGGGCUUAACCUGGGAACUGCAUUUAAAACUGGCGGACUAGAGUUGAGUAGAGGGGAGUGGAAUUUCAGGUGUAGCGGUGAAAUGCGUAGAGAUCUGAAGGAACACCAGUGGCGAAGGCGACUCCCUGGACUCGAACUGACGCUGAGGUACGAAAGCGUGGGUAGCAAACGGGAUUAGAAACCCUGGUAGUCC
rnacentral:rRNA from 1 species